GACGUAGGGCGCGAGCGUUGUCCGGAAUUAUUGGGCGUAAAGAGCUCGUAGGCGGCUUGUUGCGUCGACUGGUGAAACCCGCGGCUCAACCGUGUGGCUUGUAGUCGAUACGGGCGAGGCUCGAGUUCGGUAGGGGAGACUGGAAUUCCUGGUGUAGCGGUGAAAUGCGCAGAUAUCAGGAGGAACACCGAUGGCGAAGGCAGAUCUCUGGGCCGUAACUGACGCUGAGGAGCGAAAGCGUGGGGAGCGAACAGG
rnacentral:rRNA from 1 species